UCCAUCUCGGAAAGCAGUAGACAAAAAGGA
rnacentral:piRNA from 1 species